AUUGAACGCUGGCGGCAGGCCUAACACAUGCAAGUCGAGCGGAUGAAGGGAGCUUGCUCCUGGAUUCAGCGGCGGACGGGUGAGUAAUGCCUAGGAAUCUGCCUGGUAGUGGGGGAUAACGUCCGGAAACGGGCGCUAAUACCGCAUACGUCCUGAGGGAGAAAGUGGGGGAUCUUCGGACCUCCCGCUAUCAGAUGAUCCUAGGUCGGAUUAGCUAGUUGGUGGGGUAAAGGCCUACCAAGGCGACGAUCCGUAACUGGUCUGAGAGGAUGAUCAGUCACACUGGAACUGAGACACGGUCCAGACUCCUACGGGAGGCAGCAGUGGGGAAUAUUGGACAAUGGGCGAAAGCCUGAUCCAGCCAUGCCGCGUGUGUGAAGAAGGUCUUCGGAUUGUAAAGCACUUUAAGUUGGGAGGAAGGGCAGUAAGUUAAUACCUUGCUGUUUUGACGUUACCAACAGAAUAAGCACCGGCUAACUUCGUG
rnacentral:rRNA from 1 species